rnacentral:tRNA from 1 species
GCCGCUCUGAUGGAAUUGGUAGACAUGCAGGUUUUAGGUACCUGUGGGGAAACCCGUGCGAGUUCGAGUCUCGCGGGCGGCACCA